GAGAAAGUACAAGGUCAGGAAGAACCAGCAACUGCAGUUCAAGUUGACUGAGGAGGAUGGAGACAGAGAAAGAGGACUGAGGGUUGUACAAGAACAGGAAUAACAACAAUUACAAUUCAAGUCGACUGAGGAGGAUGGAGACAGAGAGAGAGGCCCGGGAGGUUGUACAAGAACCAAAAGAACAAGUGAACAAAUACUGAAGCUAGCUGAAAGAAAGCCCUGCAUUUUUAACAAAGUAAUUUUUCAUGUAUUUCAUCGGUGCUUUUUCAGUAGCAAACUUCAAAAAUAUUGAUAGUAAUUGUAGCAUUUUACAGGAUUCAUACCACUCUAAACAUGGCUUGAACAGGAUGGCUGCCACUAUAUUGAUGUGACAGAAUCUGUUCUCCACUCGUGACAUUGGUGUACAUGAUGCUCUAUGAUGCCUCUGCAUAAUAAAGAGAGGGUGUUUUAUGAAUUCAAAAAUUUUAAUAUGAAAACAACUCUAUUACCAGUUUGCUGUGUGUACAGGUCUAUGGAAUGGCAGGGUGAUUUUCC